rnacentral:rRNA from 1 species
AGUGAGGCCUCCGGAUCUGGCUAGCCUCGAGGGCAACCUCGUCGCAGGCCGGAGAAGCUGGUCAAACUUGGUCAUUUAGAGGAAGUAAAAGUCGUAACAAGGUUUCCGUAGGUGAACCUGCGGAAGGAUCAUUAAAAUACUUUUCAAAACUUUGUUUUGAAUUAAAAGCAACCACCGUUAAGUUCAAAAAUCUAAAACAAAACUUUCAACAACGGAUCUCUUGGUUCUCGCAUCGAUGAAGAACGCAGCGAAUUGCGAUACGUAGUAUGACUUGCAGACGUGAAUCAUCGAAUCUUUGAACGCAUAUUGCGCCUUGGGGCAUUCCCCAAGGCAUGCCUGUUUGAGCGUGAUAUCUUCUCACCGUUGGUGGAUUUGUUUCUAAAUAUCAUGCCACAGUGAAGUCUACGCUUUCACUGCUUUUUCCCCUCAAAUCAGGUAGGACUACCCGCUGAACUUAAGCAUAUCAAUAAGCGGAGGAAAAGAAACCAACAGGGAUUGCCUCAGUAACGGCGAGUGAAGCGGCAAGAGCUCAACUUUGGAAUCGCUGCGGCGAGUUGUAGUCUGGAGGUGGCCGGUCCCGGCGCCAGCGCGCAGCCAAGUCCUUUGGAACAAGGCGCCUGAGAGGGUGACAGCCCCGUGGCAGUUUGUGCUGGUGCCGCCUCGG